GUAGGUGAACCUGCGGAAGGAUCAUUAAAAAUGAAGCCGGGAAACCGGUCCUUCUAACCCUUGAUUAUCUUAAUUUGUUGCUUUGGUGGGCCGCGCAAGCACCGGCUUCGGCUGGAUUGUGCCCGCCAGAGGACCACAACUCUUGUUUUUAGUGAUGUCUGAGUACUAUAUAAUAGUUAAAACUUUCAACAACGGAUCUCUUGGUUCUG
rnacentral:misc_RNA from 1 species